CGUGGCAUAAUGUGUUAAGUAACCGGAGUUGCAAACAUCAUGACAGGUUAAUCUUUGAAUGCAAAUUGCGCUAAACUCGAUCUCGGUCGAGAAGCAUGGGUGUGACAGUACUACAUCUUUUAUAAUAAUUCUUAUUCUAAGCGAAUAAGUAAAUAAUAUAUAAGACAAACAACACGUAGUCUGCCAUACGCAGGAAGACCCGCUGAACUGAAGCAUCUCAUUAAGCGG
rnacentral:rRNA from 1 species